rnacentral:miRNA from 1 species
GAAACUUGAUGGUGUUUAUGACGUCGAAUAUCGACGUCAUAAACACGAAACUUGAUUGUGUUUAUGACGUCGAAUAUCGACGUCAUAAACACCAAAC